UCGACAAGUGCGUUCACGUGAUUCAAAACUCGAAGCCAUUUUUAACAUUUAUAUUUUCUUUUAUUCCAUCUCUCUUUUUUUCUCAGUAGAGAAUAUUCAGAAGCCAGAGAGAUCAGAUCAUACAUGGAGCCUCCACCAGCACAAGCCAUAGAUACUUCCACCAACAAUUUCCAGAUAGAAGAAGAUGAGCAGGACAAAGUCAUCGACGAUUGUUGUUCCUGCUUUUAUGACUGCACAGAGACCUGCUUUGAUUACUUAUUCUGUAAUCUCUGUUAGAUGAAUCAUGAGAGACUAAAAAUUUUACUUAAUUAUGUUGUAUUAGUAAUUUAGUGCUUUUACAUUGGCCAUCUACAGAAGAAUCAUCUUCUGUGUUUUGUUACAGUUUACAAUUUUGAUGUUACUAUAUUGUCAGGGUUAUAUGAUAUUAUGAUUUGACUUAA